UCGUCCUCGCACCGCCCGGCCGCCCUCGUCGUCGACUCCGCCCGGUCGUCACGUCGGCCAUGCGCCUCCUCGCCACAUCGGGCAUGACGGAUCCAGCUCGAGGGAGCUCGUGCACGACGGAUCCAGCUCGGGUGCGAUGACGACAACGACGGUAGGCGGCGCAUCUGACACGGAGGAUGGUGGAGGUUUCAGGCGGUCGUGGCUAGAGUGGAUCUAGGCGGGGCGGUUGUACCAGCGGCUAGCGAUGGCGAUGACGGGAGUGGUCGACGGCGCUAGUUUUUAUUCGUUUUUAUUUUUGGAAUUUUAUUUAUUUUUGCAAUUUUAUCACUUUGCAUGCGGUCAGCUUAAGCAUCUGCAUGCAAAAAAUCAUGCGGUUGAGCUGACCGCAUGUAAAGAUCAUCAUCUUUACGGAUGAUUUCGCGCAUGUAGCUGGCCCGACCGCAUGCAAAAAUCCUUAUGCGCUUGCAAUAACUGGUUCUCUAGUAGUGUGGUGUAUGCAAAAAAUUGGUGAACUACCCAAGUGAACCAUAUGCACAAUUUGAGUAAAAUAAUUUUACAGGCAGUGCAUAAUCUAACGUCCACUUAAAUUAAUUUUUUUAGCGAUGAUUCAUCCGCCUUAUGGGUGGUAUGUAAAAAUUAUUUUUAUAGGCAGUGCAUAAUCUAACAGUUACUUACAUUAUUUUUUGCAGGUGGCCGAUGAUUCCCCCGCCUGUAAUUUUCAGGUCCUAUCGUCUAAAAACUCAUUUUUGGUGUAGGGAAACUGAAUCUAUAUAAUCUUCUUACACGGUGUUACUUCUUGAUCCGGUGUAUAGCCACAUAUUCACAUAUUCAUUAUUACCGAUAACAAACAUCUAUGAUAUUCUUGCAUAAUUUUGUAACAGAGAGUUUUAUUCUCCACAUGUGUAAAUAAAUAGCUUAUUUCCGCGCGCCUCUAGCAUACAGGCAGCUCGAUAAACAUCCUUGUAAACGGGUUAAUUGUCAGUGGCUUGCAAAAAAAAAUUAAGUAAUGGAAUAAGGG
rnacentral:lncRNA from 1 species